rnacentral:snoRNA from 1 species
AAGAGAAUAAAUAGCGUGACCAUAAAUACGGAAAACACACAAAGACUCUUCAGCUGCAAAGAACAGCUUCCUUGGUAGUGUAUGCAGCCUGUUUCUUGUAUGGGCUGCUCUAAGGGACCGUGGAGACAGGC